rnacentral:misc_RNA from 1 species
AACGCACGAGACCUGCGGACCUGCGGAAGGAUCAUUACCGAGUCUCCGACUCCCAAACCACUGUGAACCUACCUCUUUAGCGCUCCGCCGGGCCGGCCCCGGGGGGUCGGUUGCCGCUAGGCGCCCGGCGGAGCUCUGGAAAACCUCUCUCAGCGAGCUUCUGAGUCUUGUCUCUAAAAGAGUCACAACUUUCAACAAUGGAUCUCU